AUCUGCACCAGGUAUCUAAAUUUUCUGCCAUUUUGGAUUUCCGUUGCAAACAAGUGCCAUCUAUGAGCUUUGUUUUUACUAAUCGCUUCAUUCACUCUAACUGAAACUCAAACUGGAAACACUGAGAUAAAGUUCAUUGGUUGUUCAAUUGCAAGCUUUAAUGCAACAGUAACUUGUGCUUUGGCUGUAUAGCCACUUUUCUCCUUUAGAAAAGACACAGAAUUACUUUAUUUACAUAAUGAAUACUAUAAGCUCUAGCAAGUAUUGAACUCUAUUUUAGACUGCUUUUGCAUGUGCAAGAUACUUUCAGAAUCUCUCUUUUUUCCUUUUCUCUUCCUCACCAACAUUUUUUUUCUUGGGAGUGUUUGGUCUGUGAAAAUUUAUAACCUUCUGCUGAAUUACUCAUGUGGACAGGUGGGGAUGCAA
rnacentral:misc_RNA from 1 species